AUUUCAUCAUUGUCUCUCACUUCACACAAACCCUUUGAAUAAUCCCUCUAUCUUCUUCUUCCUCACCCAUCCAACUACCUCUGUUUCAACAAGAUGGAGUUUAUUCAACAACAACAGAAGAGGAAGAAGAAAAAUUUGUUGGGUUGAAGCUGUGGAAAAAGAUUCUGAAUUUGAAAUUGACCCUGAUAAAGCCCGUGAAGCUUUGAGAAAACUUGAUGAACAGCUUCAAACCCUUUCUCAGAAACAAAUUGACCCUCCAAAGAUUAGGGCUACUGAUGUGACCCGUGCUAGCAGCCAAGUAACAGAAGACACUCGCGAUCCUGAAGGAUCCUUUUUGACUUCCCUAGCGUUCGGUCUCUUACUCUUCACUAUUUUCUAUAAUAUACUCUUCACUACUGUAAUCAAACCAGCAGUUGAUGGACCAGAAACAGUUGCAGAAAUAGACUUAUAUGCUUCAAACUCUUGAAGCAGCUCAGGUAAAUCAUAUAGAUGGA
rnacentral:misc_RNA from 1 species